AAAUUGAAGAGUUUGAUCAUGGCUCAGAUUGAACGCUGGCGGCAGGCCUAACACAUGCAAGUCGAACGGUAACAGAAAGAAG
rnacentral:rRNA from 1 species